rnacentral:snRNA from 1 species
CGGCUGUCAGCGGACUGCUCGAG